GCGAUCCGACGGCGUCGGGGCUGUGGCACUGCUCCUCGGGCUGGGUUGGGCCGCCGUCUGCACUCGUAUGCGGUGUCGCCCCCGGUACGCACCUCCCCGUCGUCGCUGCAGGCGGUGUCGACCCCGUCGUCGCUGCAGGCGGCGACGGACUCGUGUAGGAGCUCGAGGCGGACUUGACGAGGCCGGCGUCGUAGUUCAUGGUCUGGUCGGCUCGGUAGAGGCCGAAGAAGCGCUCGGAGGCGGGGCCGGGC
rnacentral:lncRNA from 1 species